rnacentral:rRNA from 1 species
AUUGAACGCUGGCGGCAGGCCUAACACAUGCAAGUCGAGCGGCAGCGGGAAAGUAGCUUGCUACUUUUGCCGGCGAGCGGCGGACGGGUGAGUAAUGCCUGGGAAAUUGCCCAGUCGAGGGGGAUAACAGUUGGAAACGGCUGCUAAUACCGCAUACGCCCUACGGGGGAAAGCAGGGGCUCUUCGGACCUUGCGCGAUUGGAUAUGCCCAGGUGGGAUUAGCUAGUUGGUGAGGUAAUGGCUCACCAAGGCGACGAUCCCUAGCUGGUCUGAGAGGAUGAUCAGCCACACUGGAACUGAGACACGGUCCAGACUCCUACGGGAGGCAGCAGUGGGGAAUAUUGCACAAUGGGGGAAACCCUGAAGCAGCCAUGCCGCGUGUGUGAAGAAGGCCUUCGGGUUGUAAAGCACUUUCAGCGAGGAGGAAAGGUUGGCGCCUAAUACGUGUCAGCUGUGACGUUACUCGCAGAAGAAGCACCGGCUAACUCCGUGCCAGCAGCCGCAGUAA